rnacentral:tRNA from 1 species
GUAUCCGUAGCUCAGUUGGAUUAGAGCGUCUGGUUUCGGCCCAGAAGGUCGGGGGUUCGAGCCCCUCCGGGUACACCA